AGCUGCCUGCCUUUUUUACACUCACAGCUCCAGCUCCUCCCAUCUGUCCUAGCCAAUCCUGGGAUAGCUAAGCUCCUCCCCUCUGCUGAUCUGACUCUCCUUGUAUUCCCUCACUAACAUGGAGCCGGCUUACUGACUUUGAAGGCUGCGGCCUAGCCAGCAAAGGAUGCAGAUCUUGAGAAAAUAUUGGGACCCUGGUUUUCUUCUGGAACAAAAAUAGGAAUGUCUGACAGAUGUUUGCCAGGUAUACCUGCCUGUGCUGUGAAAUUCCAUUGAUUACAAUGAAGCAUCCAUUUGAGUUGAAAAUGAUCUUACUGGAAUUCCAGCAGAGAAAAGGAUUUUGCCAAAAGUCACAAGCACCUGACAUGCUGUCAGACGUCAUGCUUAUGGGGAUGAAAGGAGGGAAUCAAACAAAAGAAGCCACAAAGCCUCUUGCGGAAAGCAAAUUAUUGUUUCAACAGUAUCCCAAACACAGCAUGAGCAUGCUUCAUACAACCCUUUCUCUGCAGAAGGUGAGAAGGAUGAAAAUUGAUGUAGACCAGUUGAGGGCCAAGCUGAAUACAUUUCUGCAAUAAAAAGGAGCCAUGAAUGAGGACAAACACAAGCUCAACAACAGACUUGGAAGUACAAAGGCACAAGUUUACUAAACAUUAUAGUUGGUUGGCUUGGCAUGAGGCAUUGAUCUGAGACUGAAGCAAGACACCGAAUGGCCUAAUGUAUUUGGUUCUGUCUAGCCUCCUGAUCCACAUCAGGAGACAGCCAAGGAACUGCAACAGCGGAGCUACUUGGACAUAUAGCCACUG